GGGUGUUUAUGUCUUCUUCAAUAACUUUUGAAAAAGGAAAGUUCAAUAUGGGAAAGCUAAAAAAUAAAGUUCCACUUUUUAUUUUUCAUAAAUAAUGAAUUAGAUCUACUAUUUUACCCGUUCCAAUCACGUGGUUCCAAUGUGAUUUUAAUCCAUCUGUGAUCGUUAAAUCCCCCUUUCAAAGCUAUUGUCCUACCAAAGGUCACAUGUUUUCUCUAGGCACUCAGACUUUAUCCACGAAGUGUUAGCUUGAUUAUUCUUUAAGUUGCUCUUACUUGACUGAGUAACAAAACAUCUUACCCCAAUGAAGGUAUUGCCUGUCAAAAAAAAUUAUAUUCCUGAG
rnacentral:lncRNA from 1 species